rnacentral:rRNA from 1 species
UACAGAGGUCUCAAGCGUUGUUCGGAUUCAUUGGGCGUAAAGGGUGUGUAGGUGGCGCGCUAAGUCGGGUGUGAAAUUUCGGAGCUUAACUCCGAAACUGCAUUCGAUACUGGCGUGCUUGAGGACUGGAGAGGAGACUGGAAUUCAUGGUGUAGCAGUGAAAUGCGUAGAUAUCAGAAGGAACAUCAGUGGCGAAGGCGGCUUCCUGGACCAAUACUGACGAUCAGGUGCGAAAGCGUGGGGAGCGAACAGG